AAUGAACGUUGGCGGCGUGGAUUAGGCAUGCAAGUCGAGCGCUCAUAGCAAUAUGGGAGCGGCGAACGGCGUAGUAAUAUGUAGGAACGUACCCUCGGGUCGGGGAUAGUCAUGGGAAACUGUGGGUAAUACCCGAUAAUCUCUGCGGAGCAAAGGUGUGAUUCCGCCUGAGGAGUGGCCUACACGAUAUUAGCUAGUUGGUAGGGUAAUGGCCUACCAAGGCUACGAUGUCUAGGGGGGUGUGAGAGCAUGGCCCCCACGACCGGAACUGAGAUACUGUCCGGACACCUACGGGUGGCUGCAGUCGAGAAUCUUCCGCAAUGGACGAAAGUCUGACGGAGCGACGCCGCGUGCGGGAUGAAGGCCCUUGGGUUGUAAACCGCUGUCAGAGGGGAUGAAAUCUUCGGAGGUGCUCCUCCAAAGUUGACAGAGCCUCAAAGGAAGCACGGGCUAAGUACGUGCCAGCAGCCGCGGUAAUG
rnacentral:rRNA from 1 species